UGCGGGGUGGAGCAGCUGGUAGCUCGUCGGGCUCAUAACCCGAAGGUCACAGGUUCGAAUCCUGUCCCCGCGACCA
rnacentral:tRNA from 1 species